rnacentral:rRNA from 1 species
UUAAGGUCGCACGUAAGUUUGCGGAGGAAGACUGCAAUGAGGGUAGCGGGAGGAUUUAAAAAGCAGCCGACCUACCUUCACACCCUUGUGUAUCUACCAUGUUGCUUUGGCGGGCCGACCGGCUUUUGACCCGGGCGGCCGGCCCCCNACACCCUAGUCUCUAGGCCAGGACGCCUGCGUAAGUGCCCGCCAGUAUACAAAACUCCAGCGAUUAUUCUGUGUAGUCCUGAGAAUUCAUUUAAUGAAAUAAAACUUUCAACAACGGAUCUCUUGGUUCUGGCAUCGAUGAAGAACGCAGCGAAAUGCGAUAAGUAAUGUGAAUUGCAGAAUUCAGUGAAUCAUCGAAUCUUUGAACGCACAUGGCGCACCCUGGAAUUCCGGGGGCAUGCCUGUNCGAGCGUCAUUUCAACCCUCAAGCUCUGCUGGGUAUUGGGCGACGUCCGCUGCCGGACCGCCUUGAAUAACUCGGGAACGGGUUCUCAGCUUCGAGCGUGGUAGUAAAUAUCUCGCUUGGAGGAGGGGGCCUGGCCGGGGAAAAUCGACCUUGGUACUUAUUUUACAGGGUGACUCGAACAGGUAGGAUACCGCUAACUUAGCUUUAUUAGGGGGGGAAA